rnacentral:siRNA from 1 species
UCCGAGUACCGCCGUCCACCGC